rnacentral:rRNA from 1 species
GCAAGUCGAGCGCUUCCCUUCGGGGAGGAGCGGCGGACGGGUUAGUAACGCGUGGGAACAUACCCUUUUCUAUGGAAUAGCCUUUGGAAACGAAGAGUAAUACCAUAUACGCCCUUCGGGGGAAAGAUUUAUCGGAGAAGGAUUGGCCCGCGUAAGAUUAGAUAGUUGGUGGGGUAAUGGCCUACCAAGUCUACGAUCUUUAGCUGGUUUUAGAGGAUGAUC